GACGAACGCUGGCGGCGUGCCUAAUACAUGCAAGUUGAGCGCUGAAGGUUGGUACUUGUACCCACUGGAUGAGCAGCGAACGGGUGAGUAACGCGUGGGGAAUCUGCCUUUGAGCGGGGGACAACAUUUGGAAACGAAUGCUAAUACCGCAUAAAAACUUUAAACACAAGUUUUAAGUUUGAAAGAUGCAAUUGCAUCACUCAAAGAUGAUCCCGCGUUGUAUUAGCUAGUUGGUGAGGUAAAGGCUCACCAAGGCGAGGAUACAUAGCCGACCUGAGAGGGUGAGCGGCCACAUUGGGACUGAGACACGGCCCAAACUCCUACGGGAGGCAGCAGGAGGGAAUCGUCGGCAAUGGACGAAAGUCUGACCGAGCAACGCCGCGUGAGUGAAGAAGGUUUUCGGAUCGUAAAACUCUGUUGGUAGAGAAGAACGUUGGUGAGAGUGGAAAGCUCAUCAAGUGACGGUAACUACACAGAAAGGGACGGCUAACUACGUG
rnacentral:rRNA from 1 species